rnacentral:rRNA from 1 species
AGUCGAGGGGCAGCGGGAUUGAAGCUUGCUUCAAUUGCCGGCGACCGGCGCACGGGUGAGUAACGCGUAUCCAACCUUCCGCUUACUCGGGGAUAGCCUUUCGAAAGAAAGAUUAAUACCCGAUGGUAUGAUGAGAUUGCAUGAUAGCAUCAUUAAAGAUUUAUUGGUAAGCGAUGGGGGUGCGUUCCAUUAGGUAGUAGGCGGGGUAACGGCCCACCUAGCCUACGAUGGAUAGGGGUUCUGAGAGGAAGGUCCCCCACAUUGGAACUGAGACACGGUCCAAACUCCUACGGGAGGCAGCAGUGAGGAAUAUUGGUCAAUGGACGAGAGUCUGAACCAGCCAAGUAGCGUGAAGGAUGAAGGUCCUACGGAUUGUAAACUUCUUUUAUAAGGGAAUAAAACCUCCCACGUGUGGGAGCUUGUAUGUACCUUAUGAAUAAGCAUCGGCUAACUCCGUGCCAGCAGCCGCGGUAAUACGGAGGAUGCGAGCGUUAUCCGGAUUUAUUGGGUUUAAAGGGAGCGCAGACGGGUCGUUAAGUCAGCUGUGAAAGUUUGGGGCUCAACCUUAAAAUUGCAGUUGAUACUGGCGUCCUUGAGUGCGGUUGAGGUGUGCGGAAUUCGUGGUGUAGCGGUGAAAUGCUUAGAUAUCACGAAGAACUCCGAUUGCGAAGGCAGCACACUAAGCCGUAACUGACGUUCAUGCUCGAAAGUGU